GAACUGGUGAGUAACACGUAGGUGAUCUGCCCCGGGAUUGGGAAUAGCUCAUGGAAACAUGGGGUAAUACCGAAUACGUUCCGAUUUUCAUGGAAAUCGGAGGAAAGGCGCGUUUGCGUCGUCCUGGGAUGAGCCUGCGGCGUAUUAGCUUGUUGGUGAGGUAACUGCUCACCAAGGCGAUGAUACGUAGCCGGCCUGAGAGGGUGAUCGGCCACACUGGGACUGAGAUACGGCCCAGACUCCUACGGGAGGCAGCGGCUAAGAAUCUUCCGCAAUGGGCGAAAGCCUGACGGAGCGACGCCGCGUGGGUGAAGAAGGCCUGAUGGUUGUAAAACCCUUUUUGUGCUGAGGAAUAAAGUAGGGAGGAAAUGCCCUGCUGAUGACGUUAAGCGCAAAAUAAGCCCCGGCUAAUUACGUGCCAGCCGCCGCGGCAACACGUAUGGGGCGAGCGUUGUUCGGAUUUAUUGGGCGUAAAGGGCGCGUAGGUGGCUAUGCAAGCUUGGUGUGAAAGACUACAGCUCACCUGUGGAAUUGCGCUGAGAACUGCAUGACUAGAGUUCCGGAGGGGAAGCUGGAAUUCCGGGGUGUAGGGGUGAAAU
rnacentral:rRNA from 1 species